rnacentral:tRNA from 1 species
GAGGAUGUAACUCAAUGGUAGAGCACAUGCUUAGCAGGCAUGAGGGCCUGGGUUCAGUUUCCAGAAUCUCCA